rnacentral:snRNA from 1 species
GUACUCGCUUCGGCAGCACAUAUACUAAAAUUGGAACGGUACAGAGAAGAUUAGCAUGGCCCCUGCGUAAGGAUGACACACAAAUUCGUGAAGCGUUCGAUAUUUUU